rnacentral:siRNA from 1 species
UAGUAUCCUCAACUAUGCCGGUC